CCUACGGUGGGCUGCAGUGAGGAAUAUUGGUCAAUGGCCGGAAGGCUGAACCAGCCAUGCCGCGUGAAGGUCAGUGCCCUAUGGGCGUUAAACUUCUUUUGUGCGGGAGCAAUAAUGGUCACGUGUGGCCAGACGAGAGUACCGUACGAAUAAGCAUCGGCUAACUCCGUGCCAGCAGCCGCGGUAAUACGGGGGAUGCAAGCGUUAUCCGGAUUUAUUGGGUUUAAAGGGUGCGUAGGCUGUGAGGUAAGUCAGCGGUGAAAUGCCCCCGCUCAACGGGGUGAAGUGCCAUUGAUACUGCCUUGCUGGAAUGCGGAUGCCGUGGGAGGAAUGUGUGGUGUAGCGGUGAAAUGCAUAGAUAUCACACAGAACACCGAUUGCGAAGGCAGUUCACUGGACUGCAACUGACACUGAGGCUCGAAAGUGUGGGUAUCAAACAGGAUUAGAUACCCUUGUAGUC
rnacentral:rRNA from 1 species